GUAUAAAUAAAUUUAUAUUGUGAAACUGCGAAUGGCUCAUUAAAUCAGUUAUGAUCUACGUGACAUAUUCUUUACUACUUGGAUAACCGUGGUAAUUCUAGAGCUAAUACAUGCAAAAAAACCCAGACUUACGAAUGGGUGCACUUAUUAGAUAAAGCCAACGCUGGGUAAAACCAGUUUCCCUUGAUUCAUAAUAAUUAAGCGGAUCGGCUUCGACAUAAAAUAUAUGUUUCUGGUAUUUUUGUUACACUCCAUAUCUGCUCACCCUAAAAG
rnacentral:ncRNA from 1 species